UUCACAUUUUUGCACUCCUAUGGAUGUUUCACAGCUGCCGAAGCCUCACAUUAAUGUACUGCCUCUCCUUGUCCCAGUGUUAUCCAUCAUCGCACCGCUGCUCCCACUCUCCAUUGCUUAUGCACUGUCAGUACUGCCAGCCAGCGUGUCCUAUCUGUCUACUUUUUCUGUAAUUAUCACAUCUUUCCCUCCCACUGCUCUCAGACUGCUUCAGCAAGCAAUCAGACCCGUCCUGCUCCGCUCAUACACACUGCAGCAGGGCGAGGAGCACGGAAGGGCAGGAAGAGGAGAGCAGCGCCGUGUGGGGCAGAGAUGAGGCAGGAAAAGGGACAGCUGGAAGGAGUAGGAUUGUUUGUGAUCUUUAAAAACAUGAGGAGGUCUUCAUACCUAGCAAGGUCUAAUGACACUCUCGGUCCUUCCUGCUGUUUUGCUGAAGCACACGGCUGUAGCUCAGAAAUAGAAACAAGCAAUUUUGCCUUGGGCAACAACCUGUGGUUGUUUCCUCUGCCAUGCGUAGCAGCUCAGCCUUGUGGUUCCACUGGGACUGUGUUUUUUGUACAGCUUCUGACUUCGGGCAAUGAAAUAUGAGGUGCCGUGGCAGUGGCAGGGAUACAGUUACAUCAAAACUUCCUUUCACACUUCACUACUGGCCUGGAUUUUGAUUUUAGAUUUUUUAAUUCCUCUACCCUACAAGGUUCAUCCAGUUUUGAAUUGGCCUCAUUUGGGUCAAUUUCUAUAAUAAUGAGCCCCUCUGCUGUCUGCUGGGCUGUCUGAUGAGUGCUGUGGGCUAAGUUCGUUAUGCUCUGCUCUCUGCAAGGAUGCUUUUUUCUCCCUGCCCAGACUAUGCCUUAUCAUUUCUUGCAUCUGACUGAAUUUCUAAGGCGCAUCCUGGUGGCUGUGUAAUCACAGAGGUGCUCCAGUGUGGGAACCUGGCUCAUGGGAGCACUCUGCUUGGCGCAGCUCAUGGUGAACUCCAACUGGAUGAGAAAGCAAAGGGAGCACUCACCAGCAGGGCAAAAGGUUUGCAAGAGCUAUCUGGUGUGCUGCCAUCACCUUCCCCUGAUAGGCACAGCCUGUCUCCAUCAGAGAGGCAUGAAGGCUGUGUCUUGAGUCAUCUUGAGUUAGCAUCUGUCUUCCAAAUACUGUCCUGCUUCUAGUCCAAACCUAGUUAGUGCACCAAGUGUAUUCAAUACCCAAUAAGUAGCACCAGAGUUUGGCUGUCAGAGAUGCUGAUUGCAAAAGGCUUCACCUGGUAAAGAAUUGCUCAGUUAGUUCACUAGCUGUUUUGAAGUAACAGAGAAUAGUGAAAGAUCAAAUGUGGGGCAUAGGUUGCCUCCUCUGGAGUGACAAAUUAGAGUCUAAAAGGCAGCACACAGUGUGUUACGUGAUGUUUCCAGCCAGAGUCCUGGGUCUCUCAGCUAACAAGUGGAAGCGUCAUGGGCUUUACCGCAGCAGAAGAGAAGGGGUGGAAACUCCAGGAGCUCCCUCAGGACAGCGUUUCUGUUGCCUCUUGAACAUGGGAGACUCAGCUCCCACGUGGAGGGACAGCUCCUAAUGCCUCACUAGGUAGCAAUGAUGUCUCCUCUUCAUCUGUGUCAUCCGCUAUAUUACAGAGAUUGGCUACCCAGAUGCUCAUACAGAUGCUGUAGCUCCAGAGCAUUUACAAGAGGCAAAGAGUGACUUAACAGCUUCAAUUAGCUUCUAGAAAAGAUUGCACAGUGCUUAAGGUAUGCCAAAAAGGCAGUGUGUGACUCCUCUGACAAAGCAAUGCUGCAGCUCCUUGUGAUGCUUUAGCCUCCUGCAGUGCCAGAUGUAGCUAGUGUUUUACUAUUUCUUUCUUCAAAUAGCAGUGCUCAGGGGGGAUAAACUUUACUUAACCUAAUUAAUUUUAAUCACAGCUUUCAAAUCUCAUACUGUGCAAAGAAUUACAAAUUGGAAUACAUUAAUAGAACCCAUGGUUUAUGCUGCAAGCUAAUCGGAAAGUGUGCAUUUACAUUUUCUGCAUGAGUUUGCAAUUACCAUUAAAAUAAAAUUCAGUUAUGUCCUUUUAAAUUACUAAAAUGUGAAGAACAGAUUGAGCUGGUCCCAUUUGUUGUAGAAAAUGACUUGAAAAUGGCCUACAUUUCAAAGAAUUAAAUGAUUCUUCCUGAAUAAGAGGUUUUAGAAAAUGACUUCCAGUUGUCUAGAGUUAAGGUGCUUCCAGGCAUUCUGGUUUAAACAAUCUUUCUUUUACAAUAAUGGAUUGCUUAAUGUUUCCUACCUGCUUCGGUACGGAUUUGUGGAAGGAACAAGGAGGGUUCUCUCACAAAGUCAGCAACGACUAACAACCUUUAGGUGUAAGCUGGAGAAAUAACAACUCAAAUGCCCACGUCCAAAACCCAACGCUGAGCACUGAGAAGCAGUUCAGAAAAUUUACUUCCCAAUGGAGGGGUUUCUCAUCUGACGAAUGUGGGGAGGAAUAUGCCCAAAUCCUACAGCCCAGCAGCUUUGGGGUUUCAUUAUGAACACAAAACUCCCCAAGGUGUACCAUAAUUUUGGUAGGGCCAGGUUGAAAAUUUUAUACAUACCCAAUGAUUUGGAAGCCUGUGUCUCAUUUAAAAUUGGCAAUGGUAUACAUAGGAAAGGUUAAUCCCCUCAGCCAGUGGUGGUGACCUGAGCCCAUUCCCCAGCACCUGGCUGUGGGAUUUUUGGGCCACUCUUUUGCAAAGUCCACUUUUGUAACUAUGUGAUUAUACAGGAAGGUUAGGUGCCAAAUUUCUGUGGCCUGUGUCACCUUGAGUCCAAGGGCUUCAAUUUUGGGAUGCCAGUGACUACAGAAGGAGUCAAAAAAGAAGUGGUCUUGGCCUUGCUCACCCAUGCCAAAAACAGCAGAUUUUUUUUUUUUUUUUUACAGGACUGUGAUGCCACAUCAAAAUGAUGUGGCUGACUAUCUCCUAUUCUCAAAAGCACUUUUGAACUUUUAGGAAACCAAGUCCCAUUCACUUCAGUGGAACCCAGGUUUCAAGGAGCCAAGAACCCCCCCCGAGCAUGCAACUCAGACACCUUAUUCAUUUGGCUCUUUUGAAAAAAAUGUUACUUCAGUGGAAACAACCUCAUUUUGAAGAAAAGUUGAAUUGCUCCCAAAAGGAUCAUUGUCUUCAGGAAUGUAGUCUAUGUUACAGUGUGACAGGGCCCCAAACAGUUUUUAAUAUAAAGUUUGGCAUUGUAUUAUAAUGACAGUGUUCAAGAUGGUACAGUAGUGUUUGUAUUUGUUUUUCAGCACAAUCCCCUGCAACUUAUUUAUGUGUUUUUUUUAAAUUCAAAAUCAUGCAAUGCAAGUGGUGCAAAAAUAAAGAGGAAAACCACAGUCUCAUAGUUCUUUGUACAGACACAGAAACAGCUUACUCCUUUGUAUAGCUAAAAGGUCAAAAUGCAUUGCUUUUGGGAAAACAUAAGCAGAUGUAUAUAUUAUAGAUGAUAACCUUUAGCUAAGUUGUAAGCCUAGUGCUUAUUAAAUAAUUGAUAGUA